rnacentral:rRNA from 1 species
ACUCCUGCGGGAGGCAGCAGUGGGGAAUAUUGGACAAUGGGCGCAAGCCUGAUCCAGCCAUGCCGCGUGAGUGAUGAAGGCCCUAGGGUUGUAAAGCUCUUUCACCGGUGAAGAUAAUGACGGUAACCGGAGAAGAAGCCCCGGCUAACUUCGUGCCAGCAGCCGCGGUAAUACGAAGGGGGCUAGCGUUGUUCGGAUUUACUGGGCGUAAAGCGCACGUAGGCGGACUAUUAAGUCAGGGGUGAAAUCCCGGGGCUCAACCCCGGAACUGCCUUUGAUACUGGUAGUCUUGAGUUCGAGAGAGGUGAGUGGAAUUCCGAGUGUAGAGGUGAAAUUCGUAGAUAUUCGGAGGAACACCAGUGGCGAAGGCGGCUCACUGGCUCGAUACUGACGCUGAGGUGCGAAAGCGUGGGGAGCAAACAGGAUUAGAACCCCUGUAGUCCCAUGAU